rnacentral:rRNA from 1 species
AGUGAACGCUGGCGGUAGGCCUAACACAUGCAAGUCGAACGGCAGCACAGUAAGAGCUUGCUCUUACGGGUGGCGAGUGGCGGACGGGUGAGGAAUACAUCGGAAUCUACUUUUUCGUGGGGGAUAACGUAGGGAAACUUACGCUAAUACCGCAUACGACCUACGGGUGAAAGCAGGGGAUCUUCGGACCUUGCGCGAUUGAAUGAGCCGAUGUCGGAUUAGCUAGUUGGCGGGGUAAAGGCCCACCAAGGCGACGAUCCGUAGCUGGUCUGAGAGGAUGAUCAGCCACACUGGAACUGAGACACGGUCCAGACUCCUACGGGAGGCAGCAGUGGGGAAUAUUGGACAAUGGGCGCAAGCCUGAUCCAGCCAUACGGCGUGGGUGAAGAAGGCCUUCGGGUUGUAAAGCCCUUUGUUGGGAAAGAAAAGCAGCAGGUUAAUACCCCGCUGUUCUGACGGUACCCAAAGAAUAAGCACCGGCUAACUUCGUG